rnacentral:rRNA from 2 species
CAUGGUUGUCGUCAGCUCGUGUCGUGAGAUGUUGGGUUAAGUCCCGCAACGAGCGCAACCCUUGAUCUUAGUUGCCAGCAUUCAGUUGGGCACUCUAAGAUGACUGCCGGUGACAAACCGGAGGAAGGUGGGGAUGACGUCAAAUCAUCAUGCCCCUUAUGACCUGGGCUACACACGUGCUACAAUGGACGGUACAAAGGGCUGCAAGACCGCGAGGUUUAGCCAAUCCCAUAAAACCGUUCUCAGUUCGGAUUGUAGGCUGCAACUCGCCUACAUGAAGCUGGAAUCGCUAGUAAUCGCGGAUCA